UAGGUUUUCAAUUUGGAUAAAAUCUUUUUGCCCAUAUUUUGAAUUGCAUGAGAAAAAUAAAUUUUUUAAAGUAGAUUUAGAGGCUUUCCUUGUGUGAACCAUCCUAACGAAGAAAGAUAACAGACAGAACCAUGGAAGAAGGUCACAUAAGGGGGAAGACCAUGGACAGAUGCAGAAUGUUUGCAAGUGGGCUGCAGGAGCAGCAACCUGCACUUCAGGGGUGGCUGCAGCCUGGUUCCCAGCAUUUACCCUCUUUCUGGGCAGACCAGACCACAGCAUUUACCUUCUUUCUGGGCAGACCAGACCACAGGAGCAGCAGCAGGGACUUUUUAAGUCCUUCAGGCAGUGGCUGUGAUGGGCUCUAGAAGCAAGCUAGAUGUUCUUCACUCAACAUGUAAUGCAUCUUUGCCCAAAGAUACCUAGCAGAUGGGUGUGAAAUGAUCCUCGGUAUAUUUACUUUCAUCAUAUUUACUUUACCUUCACUCACUAUUAAAGGAUCUUUAAUGAAAGCGUCGCCAAUAAAAGGCAGAAAUAAUUUUCCUUGA